CUCAUAAAUUUAAGCAGCAGUUGGUGUUGUUUGGAAAAAGUUCACCUAGGUCUGAGACUCCCAGGAGAAAAGAAAUCACCUUUUUUAGGUACCUGGGAUUGCAUGUCUUUCAAAGAAGAAUCCAAAGAAAUUUCUUUAGGGGCAAUGAAUUGUGUCUGUUUUCCAACGUCUGCAUUGUCUGGCAUAGAAGACCACAUCAGUUCUGUUUCCAGCCAUCACAACACCCAGGACAUGUUUCUUCAACUGAUCUGAGCAUUGAUCUUGCUGAAUCAUUUGGCUGACUUUGCUGUUGAUGUACCAGUAGCUUUCAAGCAAGCUUCCCGAAGGAAGACUAGGGAAAACAUGAGCCCAUUGCUGAAUGGGGUGAGGAACCUGACAAAGAAUUUCACAGGAAAAGCCAAGUCACCAAAAGCUGGACUAUGUUACCUGACACACAUGGGAUACAUCAUGGUGAUAGUGUUCUCUCACAAAAAAGAAAAUGAAUGAAUGAAAUACUGGAAGAAAGACGGAGCUACUGGGCUGCUUUCUAAUUAUUUAAAGGACCACACACAUCCAUGUCUUCGCCAUACUGUGAGCCUCUUCUAUAUGAGAAGACACAUCUACUGUAUUAAUAGAAAAGGCUGACCUACAGCUAUCAAUAAAUCUCACUAAACUGUGCAUUUCAAAUUGAUAACUGUCUGCAGAAUGUAAUGUUAAAGGCACUGAAGUAAAGGCUUUAUCCAUUCAUACCUGUGCUUGGCUAGGUAUAUUCUUAGUAGUGUGCGUUGUAGUUAGUGCUCUUUGGAAGAGGAGUUCUGAAUUGUAAAGACUGCGUUUUUAUCACAAGGGAGGUAUUUCACUUGAACCUGGCUUCUGAUGACUGUAAAAAUCAGAUCUCCAAGAGACAUCACUGAAAGAGAAAAUAAUCUGAUGCUUAAAAGAGUUUAAGUGUCUACUGACAGUCAAAGCAUUUCUUCUUCCCUCCCUCCUUAUUUUUCUGUUGUGUAUUUUAGGGAUAUCUGAGAACCACAGUUGUGAUUGUUAUGAUCUUUUUAGUCAUCGCUUUGCUCUAUAUAGGUUUUAUGUUACAGUUUAUAAGAUGCUGAACAUUUGCUGAGAGAUCAAAGUACUUAUCAUAAUGAGAAAAACGUACGUAACAGCAGUUGUAUAGCAAGGGUAAGGAUUGCCUGAAGCAGAACAAAUUUCUACCGAUUGCCUGACAACGUAAAGAUAAUAUAGCAGUACAAUCAUGAGAAUAAUAUCACUUAAUAAGUCUCUCUUCUUAUAUGUCUUACAGUGAAACUUACCAUUUUAUAAACUAAUAAACACAUUUUCUGCUUGAUUAGCUGUUUUAUGUCCAGAAAACCUACAAUAAAAUCCUCUUCCUUGAAACUCA